rnacentral:rRNA from 1 species
UAGGGAAUUUUCGUCAAUGGGGGCAACCCUGAACGAGCAAUGCCGCGUGAGCGAAGAAGGUCUUCGGAUUGUAAAGCUCUGUUGCCGGGGAAAAAGAAGGAAAGAGGAAAUGCUUUUCUUGGAUGGUACCCGGCCAGAAGGUCACGG